AAUUAUUUCAUUACUCGUGUCCCCAUGUAGGUUGAACGACUUUUGUAAAAGAUCUACAGAUGGAUAUAUACUCUGUUGGUAUAUGAAUAUCUUUGUUUUUUAAGCCCCUUUCUAUGGUCGAAUGAAUAGAGUCCGCCUCCAUUUGCGUAUGCUCGACCUCUAUCACGAUAUUUCAAUUCCUAGCUGUAGUAGGUAAAGCGUUAACCAAGACUGAAUUCCUGUUCUGAUGGUAUAAAAAAUGUCAUUAUGGACCAAAAGUGGAGCUAGCAGGUUUACACUCACAGCCGACGAUUUGUUGAAUUUACUUAUGGAAGUUUUGUUAGUGGCAGCCAUCAUGCA